UAGCUAACGGUAUUACAUUACACUCUGGCCCGCCUCUGCCUUCCAUGACAAUGGGGUUUCCUCUCCUCAUCGGACAGUUCCGUCGGCGCCGCCGAGCUCGCACCGCCACGGCGAGGCUGACCACUGCUCGAUAUCCUAACUCCAACCCAGCCAACUCCCGCGCGUAGACCCUAAUUCAAAGGCAACCUAAUCCCUCGCCAUGGAGGAUUCCCUCGUGCCGCCGGUGCCUCCUGCCCCAACCACCCUUUUCCUCACUCGCCGGCGAUCACAUCUCGACAGCGCCUCCUACCGCACGCUCUCCCGGCUCUUCUCCCACUGCCUCCACCACCGCCCCUCGCAGCUCGCUGCCCCGGCGCCCCUGGAAGUCGAGCCCGCCGCUGCGAACCCUAUCUGCGACGAGUCACCACAGGGGUGCUCGGUACCGCCUGAAGACGCCGAGUCUGAACGGGGAAAGGACUUAGGAGAAGAGGAGACUGCGGUAAGGACUUCUGUCAUCGAGAACCCCUCACCCGCGGCAGUCGAUGCAGCCACCGGUAACCCUAUUGCAGACCCGGCUGUGGCACCACAGAGAUACAUGGAGCAUCAAGUGGCCGGAGUUCAGCGGGCGGAGGGCGUAACAGAUAUGGUUGUUGGGGGGAACCUCUGCCGUGAGACUGUUGCGUUAGUGGAGGAGUUGGGGGCAGAGGAUGUUUUGAGGUCGAUGAAGGAUUGUUUGGAGGGGGAGGUUGACGAAUUGGCAGAGCCAGAUGUAAUGGUGGUCAAUGAUGAUGAACAUCUGCUGCUUGAUACGAUGAUGACCAACUUCUCAGGGUUGAUUGCUGAUGCCAGUGGCGGCAAAGCAUCAAUGCUGAACUAUGGGGUUUCUGGAGGUGAACCACACAAUGAUGGCAACAUAGCUGAGGGGGUGAAAGAAUUGGGAGCUGGAACUGAAGAAGACAGACCUGUGGGUGAUUCAGAUCAGCACUCAGUUGAUGGUGGCGUGGUUGAGGAAGGAGAGAUUGAGGGUGACAUGCAGGCUCUGGAUGUAGAUGAAUCUGAUGAUUCGGAGAUCGAAGAUGCAGAUGAUGAGGAAUUGGGAGAGGAUUUUGCUAACAGAGUGUUGGGGGAGAAUGAAUCAUCUGGCCUUUCAACGCCUAAAAUUAAAGGAACCAGUGAUCUUGUACUGAACAAGGAAGGUUAUAUCAAGGAUGAUGCACUAAAGCAUGUUACCAGGGCACAUGUUGUCAGUUAUGAUGAAAUUGUGGAAUGGAAUGAGACACCACUGCCUGAUACUGAGGCUCCCAAACCAGGGAAGAGAAAACGGCAUUUGACAGAGGAAAGAAAGGCUAAGAAGACGAAAAACAAACGGGUUAAAAGAGCACAGCAGCGGAUAGCGGAUGGUGUGAAAAGACUGAAACUUGCACCAGUUAUAAAGCCGAAACCAGUGAAGUUAUGCCACUUCUACAUGCAUGGGAAGUGCCAGCAGGGCAAUGCUUGCAAGUUCUCACAUGAUACUACACCUUUGACAAAAUCUAAGCCCUGCACACAUUUUGCGCGUGGUUCUUGUUUGAAAGGAGAUGAUUGUCCCUAUGAUCAUGAGUUGUCAAAGUACCCUUGCCACAACUUUGUGGAAAAUGGAAUGUGCUUCAGAGGUGAUAAAUGCAAAUUUUCUCAUGUGGUGCCAACUGCAGAUGGUCCUCCCAAACCAGAUGCAAAGAAAUCUGAUGCGUCAUUGGUAUCUGAAAAACCUGGCAGAGAGCAAACAAGUAGCCAGAAAGCAUCGGCGGACCAUGAUGGCGAACACAUAACUUCUGCUCCUACCAAACAUUACUCCAUUCUUAAAAACCUUGCCGGCAUCUCAGUAAAUGCUCUAAAAGCAUCAACCGGUACACCAAAGGGUGUACAGUUUCGUCCUUCCAGUAAAGACAGAUCAAAUUCUAGCAUGCUGCAUCAGGAUGCUCUACCUAUCGAGAAGCAUAUGUAUACAAAUGGCAGUAAACAUCAGAAUUUUGAUGGACCGCAGGCUGCAGAAGGGGAUAAAAAUGCCAUUCCAAAUAAACAGAGAUCACAUCCACUGUUCGAUGAAAAGAACUCAUUAAAAGAAGCUAGUUCACAUCCAAGUUCAGACCCAAAGAGAACUAGUUUGCCUACUGGCUCUACUACAGUGCUUGGAUCACUCAGCACUCAGCACGAAGUUUCAGAGGCUUCAAGAAUUUUGCAGGAAUUCUUAUUUGGUGCUGGCGGUUAGAGGAAAUUCUUUCUCUGGAAGCACUGAAGCGUUCUGCCACCUGGUUUCUUGGGUCCUCGGAGAGCAUUUGUAGUGGAGGCCCUCCGGAUUCUCCAGGCAAAGAGAGCAUUACUUUGUUGCCCCCGUGAUAAUGGUAGCUAAAGAUGUUGGCCUGGUGCAUUGGAUGGUUUGAACUUGCAUGCAUGCAUGCCGUACCCGGGAUUAUAUCUUGGUUCAGAAUUACUCCCUCCGUUCCAAAAUAGAUGACCCAACUUUGUACUAAAGUUAGUAUAAAGCUGAGUCAUCUAUUUUGGAACGGAGGGAGUACUUGUGGAACUACUCUGGAGACUGUGGGACACAGGGGCAGGCAGAAUCAAAGGUAUCCCAGAUUUGUCGCAGACAUCUGAGUUUACGCUCCUGGGUGACUCUUAACUGGCUAUCUCAUUACUCAGUUUUUUCUACAAUGAUGAUGAUGCCCUUUAAACCGUGUUAAUUCAUCAUGCUGCUCAUGUGAUCAUGCCAGCUUUGAGUGGCUUGUGCCCGAGGUGCAAUUUGUUAUCUUGGUACUCGAAUAGCUCUAUCGCACUCGUGAAAGCAAAAGAUUCAAAGGUUUUGAGUGGCUUGUACACCUGAACCUGUAUGUGUUGCCUGUCAUGGAGACUGGAUAACGUGUGAACUUGGUGAAAGCCCCCCUCCCUGGAUGUGAUGGACUGAUAGGUAGCCACUUUGUUGCUUUCCUCCUACGAUAAAUACUCUCCCUUAUAGUUGGAAAACGAAAUGCAUAUUUACGCCCGUACUUCAGGGCCCUUUAUACCUCCAUUCAUGGAGGAUUUGUUGCCAUCUACACCUAAAGGCCCUGUUUGGAUUAUUGUUUUCCUUUUGAAUACCCCUGUAAAAAAUACAGGUCUCAACCCGUCGUUUUGUUUCCGGCCGGGAAUUGCUCAGUGGCUGGUGAGAUACACCUGUAAGUUGAACAGCUCUGUAUAAAAUUACAUUGAUUCCAAGCGCGGCCUAAGUGUGGAGUAAGGGGAUAUGGUGAAAUACGGUUGACCGUAACCUUUUGUACCCAGCGUUUUUUGUGCACGUCAUCUGGAAUAGCAAAAAAAACAAGCAACUACUCCAUCCUUUUCCAAAAUGUAGGUUACGUCUUCUUUUGUGAUACGAGUCACAAUCAUAUUUGAGUAUUGUUGGAUGCAAACCUAAUAAUAUAAAAAUAUGUUACAUAAACCACAUAUUGUAAAGUAAUUGUUGCUUCUUAAUAAAUCAAAACAUGUCUUGUAUUUUGAAACAGCAGGAGUUUGCAUGACUUUUGAAAAUAAUUAGAUAAUUAAAAUAACCAAUACUGCUCACUAAUCGUGUGAUUCUCCUCCGGCUUCAUGUACAUUGUACAACUUCUCGUUUGUCGACUAAUCGCUGUCAAGCUAUGUUCCCUGGUUCGCAACCAUCUCUAACAUGGGCAAUGACAAUCCACAGGAAACUUCGUUUGUUCUUUUGCCAGCAUUUUCCGGCCAUAAUCCUCUACUUCUAUAUGUAGUCAGGCAUGCCAUGCUCUAUUGCAAAGUCCACAUAAAUUUCGCUAUUCAGAGUAAUCAUGUCGCCAAUCAGCAUACAGUUUUGCUGAAUUAUACAUGAAAACUGACGAAAUGCAAAACAUUUUGUGGCUGAAAGUAAGCAUCCUUGGAUUUUCUCAGGGCUCUUGUUUCAAGGACGGUCAUUAUCUUGUAGUGGUGAACUCUUGAUCUGAUUGUUAAGGCUACAGCCUGUUGCUGACUUUUGUCAACGACGCACUGACAAAUGAUUUAUGUCAUUUGACAGGAAUGAUACCUCCUUUUUUUCUUUUACCUUAUUACAUUUGACAUGGACUCUUAACAUCUUCUUGCCUUGAUCUCUUCUUCAUUGCUGAUGAUGGCAAUAUCGUUUCAUUGAGCUGCUUUUGUUUCAUAGGACCAAAUUGUUCAGCAGACUGCCAUAUGCUAGCUUUUUUUUUCAAUGAUGCCAAAUCUGACAUUGAGUUGUCGACCGGAGUCGCUGUUUGACACAGCUUUGCUGCUUGUCUUUCUCACUUUAGCACGGUCACAUACAUAAAUCGUGCACAGGGAGUACUCAGGCUGGCUGACAAAAACAACACCUCUGGAGUGAUCUGAUUCAUCAAACUGGCAGCCUCCCUCAGCAAACAGGGAACUCCUGCAUCCGUUCAGUUAAUGUCCAGAGACCAAGGCCUCCGAACUCAGCCGGCACACCCUCUGUUGAACUGCUAAUAGGACCAUUCCUGUAUGUAUUCUGCAAUUCACUGUUCUUGAAUUAUCUCAGUAAUGGACUGAGUCAAUGCCAACAGGAAGAAUGAUGAGGUGGAAUCCACGGACACGGUUGGAAAAUCUUGAGGCUUCGUUCGUGUCUGUUCUGCCCGGCCGUCCAUCCUUGUCUGAUGGUAAAUAGGAGGUCUAUGUACUUGAACUCGAGGUUAUUAUGAAUUUUUCAGGAAAUUAUGUACAGCUGAUUACUUCGAUUGGUCGCCAUUUCAGAGAUAAUAAGCCAGGAGGGUUAGGCAAUUAUGGGUUUCAAUACCUCCGGUGAAUGGCCAUUCUGUUGGCCAUUACAUUCCUCAUGACAAUGACACUCCGUGAAUCCUGGCUACUGCCAUGUUCUCAUGCUCACCGCAUAUCAUCACACAGUUCAGCCAAGAACUACAGUUUGUUCUCUUCUCUUUCGAUGACGAUAAAAAUACACAUGGUUUCAUUGGUCACGCGAGCGUGCAAUUGCCCUGUGGAUCCGGAGAUCCGGCUUUCAUGGCUCCUGUUACUGAAUCAUGAGUUUUCUUCUCCAAACUAGUGCAGUAAUUCUUGUUGCUACCAGAUUCAACUGAGCCUGCAAUUUGCAUGAGGGGCCUGUCCUUUUCUUGAUGCGGACAUGCUUAUAUUCGGGCUCAUAAUUCGCGCCUUGAUCGCUUUUUAAAAAUCAUACAUGACCAUAAUUCUAGCAGAUUG